rnacentral:rRNA from 1 species
ACACGUAUGGGGCGAGCGUUGUUCGGAAUUACUGGGCAUAAAGGGCGUGUAGGCGGUUUCGCAAGCCUGGCGUGAAAGGUGCCGGCUCAACCGGUAGAGUGCGCUGGGAACUGCGGGACUGGAGUCUUGGAGGGGGAGCUGGAAUUCCAGGUGUAGGGGUGAAAUCUGUAGAGAUCUGGAAGAACACCGGUGGCGAAGGCGAGCUCCUGGCCGAUGACUGACGCUGAGGCGCGAAAGCGUGGGGAGCAAACAGGAUUAGAUACCCUGGUAGUCCACGCUGUAAACGAUGUGCACUAGGUGUUGGUGCCAUACGGGCAUCGGUGCCGUAGUCAAGGCGAUAAGUGCACCGCCUGGGGAGUAUGCUCGCAAGGGUGAA